rnacentral:rRNA from 1 species
GACAGCAGCAGCCACGGUAAUACGAAGGGGGCUAGCGUUGUUCGGAUUUACUGGGCGUAAAGGGCGCGUAGGCGGACUGAUAAGUCAGGGGUGAAAUCCCAAGGCUCAACCUUGGAACUGCCUUUGAUACUGUUUGUCUUGAGUUCGAGAGAGGUAAGUGGAACUGCGAGUGUAGAGGUGAAAUUCGUAGAUAUUCGCAAGAACACCAGUGGCGAAGGCGGCUUACUGGCUCGAAACUGACGCUGAGGCGCGAAAGCGUGGGGAGCAAACAGGAUUAGAUACCCCCGUAGUCCCUGUCUCUUAUAC